rnacentral:rRNA from 1 species
CCUACGGGUGGCUGCAGUGAGGAAUCUUCCACAAUGGGCGCAAGCCUGAUGGAGCGACACCGCGUGAAGGAUGAAGGUCUAACGAUUGUAAACUUCUUUUCUGGGGGAGCAUAAUGAGAGUACCUCAGGAAUAAGGGACGGCUAAAUACGUGCCAGCAGCCGCGGUAAUACGUAUGUCUCGAGCGUUAUCCGGAAUUACUGGGUGUAAAGAGUUCGUAGGCGGCGAAUUAAGUUAGGUAUGAAAGACCGGAGCUCAACUCCGUGUUUGUGCUUAA